GACACAUUCAGGGGACACCUUAGACUUAUAUUACAUCUUUUAAAAACAUAAUCUAGGGCACCUUUAAGUCUGUGCUCUGAAGUAUUCAAGAUCUUUAACCAUUUAAGUUGGAAAAGUCAUUUUCAUGUCUUUGCUCAAAAAUUGGGACAGACAGUUAACAGGUAAAACAACUUUACUUUUUAACAAACUUUGGAAAUAAAAAGUUGUUAAACUCAGCAAGACACUGGCACUUCAGGGCUAGAGUUGAUGGGCUCUGACAUACAACAAAGUGUUUUGUAUUUUGGGUCUGUACAGUUUCUUUUAAAUAGCUGCCUAUAUGGGUCAAAUUGACCCAUGACCAGCAAGAUUAUAGAAAAUUUAUCUAUGCACAUUUCACAACACAUCAGCGUGCUGAAACUUUGCAUGCAUGUUCAUGAUCCUAAAUGAGAAAAGGUCACACAAUUUCAAGAAAAACAUAGGUUAAAUAAUAUUUCAGAAAUGAUAGCUAAUUUUUACCAUCUGUGGCUGAAAAAAUAUUUCUAAGUAUUGAAAUAAGUGGAAAAAAGCUCUUUUUACCUUUACCAGGCUAGAUAAAAACCAACAUAACAAAAUAUAACCAAAAAAAAAAAAAAUCUUACUAUUUUGGGUCUGUACAGUUAGCUUAGAAGAGGGUCAAUAUGAUGGUUAAAUUGACCCACGAACAUCACAAACGUAACAGUAAUUUUGUGUGUACAGUCAUGGCCAAAGUUUUGAGAAUGACACAAAUAUUUAUUUUCACAAAGUCUUCUGCUUCAGUGUUUUUAGAUUUUUUUUUUUUUUUUUUUUUUUUUGUCAGAUGUUACUAUGGUAUACAUAAGUAUAAUAUCAUAAGUGUCAAAAGCUUUUAUUGAAAAUUGCAUUAAGUUUAUGCAAAGAGUCAUAUGCAGUGUUGACCCCUUUUUCAAGACCUCUGCAAUUUGCCCUGGCAUGCUGUCAAUCAACUUCUGGGCCACGUCCUGACUGAUGGCAGCCCAUUCUGCAUAAUCAAUGCUUGGAGUUUGUCAGAAUUUGUGAGUUUUUGUUUGUCCACCCACCUCUUGAGGAUUGACCACAAGUUCUCAAAGGAAUUAAGGUCUAGGGAGUUUCCUGGCCAUGGACCCAAAAUGUCGAUGUUAUGUUCCCUGAGCCACUUAGUUACCACUUUUGCCUUAUGGCAAAGUGCUCCGUCAUUCUGGAAAAGGUAUUGUUUGUCACCAAACUGUUCUUGGAUGGUUGGGUGAAGUUGCUCUCGGAGGAAGUUUUUGUAACUUUCUUUAUUCAUGGCUGUAUGCUUAGGCAAAAUUGUGAGUGAGCCCACUCUUUUGGCUGAGAAGCAUCCUCACAUAUAGCUUCUCAGCCAAGUAUUGGCUGAUGCUGUUUACAUGAGCGGCACGAUGCAUGAGUGUGAUGCUGACGCAGGAGCUGGCCAAUAAUGGCCGUUCUCAAUAUGCAUUCUUUCAAUUCACAUUUAUUUAUAUAAUGCUUUUCACAAUACAUAUCGUUUGAAAGCAGCUUUACAAAAAAUGCAUGUCAACAUUAUAAUUUUGAGUGAUCUGUUAUCACAGGUGCAAGUUGUGUAAUUUCAGAAAUGUACAUAUACAAAUCAUGCAGUUAGCUAACAAUCUAUUAAUUUAAUGUAUUAAUUUAAGGCAGAAGCAAUGGGCUCAUUGAAGUAAUGAAUACUAGUCCAGGUGAUAUGUGAAAAAUGUUUUCACUUUUUCAUAAAAGCAUGAAGUUUGGGGCCCUGAACAUUUUCAGAAAUUGAGCCAUCACAAAAAGCCAUCGUGGUCGCCAUGGCAACCACUUUACUUUCCACCAUAACCAAAUUAUGUAUUUUGUAUCAUAUCCUCUGAGUCAAACAUAAUAACACAGAAAAGAUCAUGUCUACCCCUAUGUUUUGAUCAAGGAUUACAAUGAUAUUAUAUUACUGUUCAUGUGAAUAGUUAAUGCUGAAUUCAGUGACGUGAGAAGGAAAUCACAGUAUCUGAGAACUGUAGAACUUGUAGAAUUAGUUUGCUUACUAUAAAAGCUAGAAGUGUUUUUAGGCCUUUUGGCCUAUGUAACUGUAAGGGUCAGACAAGUUUACUUGGCCACUGAGCAUAUUUUGUUGGUAAUUUUCCACCAGACAACAGUUGGCUGUGAAAUGAACAAGACCAUCAUUAAAGGGUGUCACGUGAAGGCUUUUUGCCUCCAGGGAGUAUUGACUGUUUUGAUACAAUGUUUCAUUUGGCCAAUGGGAAGGGUUGACCAUCAACUGACAGAAGGCCAUGAGAGAUUAAGGUAAAAGAUGUACAGUGGUUGGUAGUCGGCCACCCUUACUAAGAAAAUUGUCUCUUACAUAAGCAACACCUGCAAUUAUAUUAGUGAAAUGACUAUGGCAGAAAGGUCGGGGAGUACAUUGGAAGGAGGUGUGGGAGGAGAGCUCGUGUAAGCGAGAAUAUGGGAAAAUGUAAGGGUGAAUAUUACCAGCCAACGAUACUACUUUGGUGUGUUAUACGAGAUAAGAAAAAUGUAUAAAAACUGUGCCCCAGCUAAGAGAACCUCAGAUGUGGGGCUGUCAUCUCACUUUGUUGCUUGACAAUAAAGUUAAAUACUUUAGAACUAAAGUUCUGGAACUUAGACUCUGUGAGUUUUUCUUCGAGACCUGACCUGAAGGGACAAAGAGACAUUAAAUCUGCCAUGACACAGUCAAUGGAAACCAAAAUCAUGAUCAUUAAAACUGACAUUUAACAAGAAGAGACAGGGUUGUGUUUUAAGUCAUAUUUCAUUUUAUUACAUUGAAGAUCAUCAGAGUAGGCUAUAUUUAUCCCUAAUGUAUUUGUGAGGUAGUUUAUUACAUUAUAUUGUUUAAACAAAGACGUUACAGAAAGGUGUUUAUGGUUGAAACAUUUGUGAGUAUUAUAUAUGCUUUUUAUGCAUGGCUCUCAAGUUUUAUCAAAGUUUGGAGUCAGAUUACAUCUGUUAGGGGAGGAGCCACUCAAAAAUUUGCAGCAGCAGCCCCUCAGCCCCACCCAAUUCUCUCAAGUUUUUGAGAGCAGUUCAAUUUUACCUAUUGUUCAUAAUUGACCAGCACAAAUAAAAUUAUUCUGCUUGUUGACUGUUCUUUGUCCUGAUGCCCUUUAUGUUUUAUAUGCCUGUUUGUUCACAUCUGUCACACCUUGAUGGGCACAUGAGUUCUCCUGUCUGCAAAUUGAACACUAGUAGGAGCUGGUGGUGCAUAUGGUAAUGAAUGGCCAUUUGAUUGACCACUCACUUUUAAAAGUACACCUGAUGGCUGCUCCACAUAAUGCUUUUUUCUUCUUCCCUGUCUUGUCCACUGUCUCCUCUGGUCUCUGCUGCUUUCUCCCCAACUGUCUCCCUUACCGUCUUCUCCACCGUCUCUGCCUCCACCUCUUCCACUGUCUCCUCCUCUGUUCUGAACCUUUUUAGGGGACUGACCCUUUGGUUCCCAGACUGAAAUAAUACUCUCUUGCUUUUUACCUGACAUAUUUGAAAUAAACAAAUGCAAUGAUUAAUGUAUGCAUUGCCAGGAUAUUAAACAUUACUGAAAUGAUAGCCAUAGAGCUCUGCUUUAAGAGAUGAAAAGAGUAUUAAUACAGUAGAUUUUGAAACAAAAUAAAGAAAUAUAUAUCUAGUACUUUCCUUAGUUUCAGGUAGCCAAACUAAGCUAAAGCUUCUGGUUGCAAAGCAGUUGGAGAGUUUUUGACUGCAUCAAUAAUAAUGUAGCAUGCAUUUGGCUAUAUUCCCCCUCUAUCUUUGAUCAUCCUGUCAUCCUGAUGUUUCCUGUCAUCAAGUUUUUCCUAAUAUCUGUCAUUAUUAGAACACAUUUUACACAUGGGGAAAACCAAUUGUUUAGUCAAUAAUUCAAGAAGGUUCAGACUUUAAAGCUCUUGUCUUGAUUCUAACUUGUACUUGGCCUUAUGAAAAAGUAUAGUUCUUGUAAUUGUCUCGUAAUUUAGCACUUGAUACAAUAAGGAUAUAAUUACAGGUAAUAGUGAAGAAGAUUAGUAUUAGUAUAGAAUAGUUGCGGUCCACAGAAAAGUAGAUAAAAUAAAGGGAUGAGUGUUGUGAAUGUGAGAAAGAAUGAGUUAAGAUACUAGGUUUGCAAAAUAAACUAGUAAUAAAACAAAUAAUUUGUGUAGCUGCACAAAGAAAGUAAAUAAAUAAAGAAAGAAAGAAUAAUAGAAAAAGGUUCAUUUAAUUUUAUUGGUUAAAAUUUAUAAAGAAAUUUGUCUAUGAAAUUGUGAGAAUUGCAGGAAGAAAGGAAAAUAUUGCAAGAUAUUAACUUAAAAGAAUAAAUAAUAAAUAAAUAAUAAUAAUACAGAAACAAAUAACUGAAUAACUAAAUGAAUAAUAGUAAGUUUGCACAUGCUUAAAAUAAUGUCAUAUAUCUGCAGAUGUUAAAAAUUUGUAUCUUGUUAUUCCAGGAGGACAGUAUGAAAAAUGAUUCCAUUGCAGAAAUUUAGGUUUGUGUUAAACCUAAUAACUUGUGCUGAAUGAGAACAAGAAUGGAUGACCAAGGUAUAAGAAAUGUUGCAAUAGUCAUAGACAUUUUACAGCUAUCUUAGUAAAUGAGACUUGUUUAUUAAAAUGAAAGGAAUUUCUUGAUGAUGGUUGAGGAAAAUUUUAUUCACUAUAUUAGAUUAUUUUGAUCCCAGCAUGUGAAUAUAGAAAUGAAAAGACUGAAGUCUGAAUUAUAAUAGGAAAUUUUUUUUAAUUUAGUAUACUUCGAUAAUCAAAGAUAGAUUAUUACUGAUAGAUUUUUGCAUAUUGCAAAGAAGAAUUAGCUUUGCUUUUUCCUGCAAUAAAGAAGAACUUGCUUCACUAUACCCCAGAAUGAGGGAACUGCUGUUUUCAACCAGUGAAAUUUUUGAUAUAAAAGAUUUAGUAAAUUUAGAAAAAGAGCUGAUUGCUCAGAUAUUAUUUAGAUUAGAAUUUACAAAAGUUCAAUUUGAUUCAUGCAGAUUUCUCAGUGUUUCAGAUGACUUCUGUGCCUGUGCUGUGACAAAUGAGCUACAAGUGGAGAGAGGGCAAAGGUCCCCAAAGACACGACUGCACAGAGAAGAAGAGAAAUGUGGGUGAUGAGCUUUCAGCUACCCUCCUGAAAGGAUGAUUCUACACUUCAGCAUGGAGAAAGACUUAAUUCAAGAAAAUGAUUUAAUUCAAGAAAAAGUGAAAUGUUCACUUGAGACUUUUCCUGUGGACAAAGAGAAUGUCCUGAGAUGCAAAACUGUGGCAAGAAGAAUCCACAGCGAAACACGAGAAGAGGCAAAGAAACAGCAGGGCCUACAUUCCACUCCAAACCACCAUGCCUUUGAGUGACAUCAUAGGCAGACGACACAGGCAGAGCAACAGCCAACAGCUUCAACAGACUGAUGGUCUGAACCGAAGGACUUCUGACAAUCCUUUCCUUAUGGGCACAGUAGGACCCAAUCCAGCUUGUGUAAAAAAUAGAGAGAGGAAGUUCAUUGGAAGACGGUAGAAACGAGAAAGCAGCCUAGUGAAGAGACAGAGACUUCUUGUCCAGUUGUUCCAGGGGACCAAGUAUAUCUGAGGGUCUUCAGGAGAAAGUGGAAUGAACCUAGGAGAGAGGGACCGUACACAGUUGUGACAGCAACUCCAACAGCAGUUCGAGUGGAAAGAAAAUCUGCCAGGUAUCAUCUAAAUCACUGCACAAGAGUUCCCAAAGAAAGGAAGGAAAGAGAAGAAGAAUAAAGUGAAACAGGUGAUACAGAAAGACCUGAGGCACAGAAUGAAAGGAUGGAGAAUGCUGAAAGCUCAGAGCAAGAUGAGCAGGGAGCUGAGCACAGCAGAGAGAAUCAACAAAGUGAGAGCAAUACGUCCACUAAUGCAUCUGACGAUCAUCAUAUGCUUAUUGCAUCUGACGAUACAAGCUAAAGCUCAAGAUCUAACAACUCAAUAAUAACCCCAAUAGAAAAAUAAUUAGUUAAUGAGCAAAAAAUAUCAAAGCAACACAGAAAUGGUAAAGAUGAACAAAUUGAUAUUUUCUGGGAAAUAGCACAAAACAAUGAAUGGUACAGAUGGGCAACAUUUACAGUAAUAGAGCUAGGAAUGGAUAAUUGUUUGUUAUGCUUUAAAACACCUUUAAAAAUGGUAAUAGUAGUUCCAAAUUCACAUGACUAUCAAAAAUGUGCUGUAUUUAAUAGAAACGUUUGCCAUGCAAGUGCCUCUAUUAGACCUUAUUGCUCAGUUGAGUGUUUAGGUUUUGUAAUUCUGUACAUCAGAAUCGUUUUAGUAGAACCACAUUGGGGAGAUUGGUGUAGAUAUUGGGAUGUAAAUACAAUAUUAAAUUAAGAGAAGAAAAAGUAGAAAUCCCAAAAUGGUAUAAAAUAGAUUAUAGUAAACAAAAUAGAACCAAAAGAGCUUAUGAACCAGACCCUAAGGUGACAAUAGAUCUAAAUGGUCAACCUAGAGGAAUACCUGAAAAAUAUAAAGCAAGAAAUGAAAUUUUAUCAGGAUUUGAAUCAAUAAUUAUAUGGAUAUAAUCAGCAAAGAUUUAUCUGAUGAUGCUUUAACUGCAUUAGGAGAACAAUUACAUGAAACAAGUAAAAUAACAUGGCAAAAUAGACAAGCUCUUAAUUGACUGUUAGCAGACAACGGAUGUGUUAUGUUUGGAGAUCAGUGCUGCACUUUUAUACCAAAUAAUAUUGCACCAGGAGUAAAGUUUAGUGAAGCUAUGCUUAAAAUAAAAAGUUUAAGAGCAGAAGUUACAGAAAAUGCUGGAAGAGAUGAAAAAGUAUGGUUAGAUGUAAAAUUUGGAGCAUUGGGAGCAUGGUUUGUUAAAUUAGGAAUAUUUUAGGAGUUGCAGUAAUAAUAAGGGGGUUGUUAUUUUGUUGUAUACUUCCUAGUAUACUUCCUAUAUUACAAUCAUUAGUUGUCCAAGCCACAACUAAGCAUAUGGAAAUGCUAAAACCACAAGAUGAUUGUAAAGCAAUCAAAGCAUCAGGAUUGGCCUGACAAACUAAAAUGGAUUCUACAAGAUGCUGAUUCAAGUACCUGAAAUAAGGAUGAAGAAAAUAAUUUACCUAACUGCUCCCCAAGAGCAGCCCUCUACGAUACGCAAAGUAUCUGGGUUGAAGAUGUCACCUUUCAAGAAUUUUUAAUAGUUUAAUGCAUGGAGUGUCGAUUGAUAUUUCAUAAAUGACUGUAACAACCACAAGCAAGGCUGAACAAAUUACACACUCAUGUUUAUUACAUAGAAUUGUUUUAAAAGUAAAGGUCUGGAAGCCUAGAAAUCUUUUACUCUCUUCAUAAAACAAAAAACAAAGAACAUCUGAAAAAGAAAAAAGAAAAAACUGGGGAGAGAUGUUUGGUUCUAUGGCUUCUCCAGAGGAUGGUAGUAUGAUUCAGUUAUUGGUAACGGGACUGGAUGACUUAAUUUAGUCACUAGGUAGCAUAACUAAGAAUGCUGGAUUUUGAGAUUACCCUCUGGGAAAAGAAUAUUAAAGUUAGGAUUUUUAGCCUCAGAGGGAGGAAAUGAAGAAGAUUUUGUUAUGGUAAAAUUGAGUAUAAUAUAGUAUAAUAUUAUGUGCUUUAUUUUACAAUUAAAAUCAUAUGUGUUAGGCCUGUACAUGUGCAGAAAACAUGACAGCAUGUGUUUCCAAGAAAAGGUUUGCUGUACACAAAAGAAAUUUGAAUCUUAAAGAAUCUGUCUAUGAGUAUGGGAAAUUCUAUUCCAAGCUGAAGAAUGUUUCCAAGAAUAUCUAUAGAAUGUAUGGCAAAGGGCGUUUGCCUGGAUAUAUAAUGAGACAAAAGCAAAAGAUUGGGAGCGGUCUCCUGAAGAGGCUGUCUCCUUUGUUGUACAAUAAAGUAAUACAAUUUCUGGAAUCAAAGAUCUUUAAGAAGUGAUUUUUCACAUAAAGUAGAAACCACAACAAUAGCAGCCUAUACACAUAGAAACAAUAGCCACAAAAUGCCACAGUUGUAAUAUAAAUCUUUAGUGAAAAAUCAAUUCCCUUAACAGAUAAUCUAUUAUAAAUUCUACAAGUUAGUCAAUUUACCACAAUAAACACAAUAGAAUGUGAUAAAUUCUAUUUCUAGUAAAGGUGGUCAUAAAUGCUUUCUAAUUUAUGUUGGUGCAGGAUGAUGUUUUCUCAGUGUCGCGAUAGGAACGGCUCGCACAAAUCUUAUCAUACAUUUUGAGCGCGCUGGUGAAUGCACGCAGAGUAUACAGCCAUUCACGUGCCACGCAUGCACAAUUAAAUAAACUGGGCUUCAGUCAUGUUAAUUGGUCUGUUAAUUGGUCAGAUAAUUGGCCCUUUCCGUAAUUAGGAAGCAUGGUGUUAGUUUUCACUGCUACGCUGACGAUACUCAGCUCUAUAUUUCCUCGCGCCCUGACGAAACCUACAAAUUCACAAAACUAACAGAAUGCAUAGCUGACAUUAAAA